GGAGAAAUACCAAUUAAAGAGAAUGUUUGAAGCUCAGGGUUGAGCUGUGGAGUCCUUGGUGCUCUAGAGCUUGGCUG